AUGGUGUGCCCCAGGAGGGGAGGGAGCAAUGCCCCUGAUGGGCUCUCGUUCUCCAAAGCACUUCGAGCCUGUUCACCAGAGCCCAUCCCAGGCUUGUGGCUGUGUUUAGCCACCUUGGGAAAAACUCAGUUGCUAGGGCUGUUUUCUGUCCUCUUCUGCUUAAAAACCACCUGCUCCGAGGGGAAGGCAAAGCAUCUCAUUCACAUGGAGUCAGCGGGAAGCAGCAGCCAAGAGGCAGCAGCGAGUGUGAGUGAGAGGGGAUCCUUUGCAGCCUUUAUAUACCGGAGUUAUUUUUAACCACAGCCUCCAUGCUUAUUACAGUGUUUCCUCUCUCAGACGCUCAGGAAGCCCACUUGGCUCUGUUUCCUGCUAACAUUCAGCCCUGGCUCACAAAAUCUUUGAGAACAACAGGCCUGAGACUGCUUGGCUCCAUUAAAAAAACUGGCAACUUUUCAAGCCCUGACAGAAAAGCUUUGAAAACUCUGGAUUUCCUCCAGCUAACGUAUGAGGCUCCUACAUCAGUGACAAAUUAGACUGAAACAGCACAAAACACUCCUAUGUAAAUAGCCUUUUUCUGCGUUCACUCUUUUAAUAGUUCAAACAUUAUUUAUAGUUAUUUCGCUGGGUGGAAAAAUAUUUUUAUAUUUUUCCAAAGAUGGGUUCUUGUGAAAUGUUUUCUUUGUUUGUUUGGAUUUUUAUGUUUUCUUUUUUCCUUUGAGAAUUUUGUGACAGUUUUCUUAGGCUCCAGGAGCAACCUUUUCUUCCUGGAAACCAGGACAAAAUGGCUGUUGUGAGUCCUUCACUGAAAGACCUCUGUCCAACACUCAACACAAGUCUCUAAAUGCUGCCAUUCCCCCAACUAUUAAAUAAUAGUUGUAACAGGCAUGACUGAGUUCUGAUUUUUUGAGAGACAACAGGAGAGGUCAGCUGCACUUAAUCACUGACUUCACACAUACGUUUUACAUGUAACGUAAAUUGUAUCAAAUUUUUUUCUUGCAAAGUUUUCACUUCCAUUCCAAAGGGACUCCUACUUCCAAAAUUGCUUUCAAGUAUCAAAAUGCAUGUGAUCUUCAUGGCUGAGAAUGCUGUUUUAUUCCUGUGUUGUGAUUGUACAGCAUCCUAAGAAAUCUUCAUGCUAAUAUUUCUUAUAUCUGUGAGUAAAAAUGACCUAGAAUCAUAGAUAAAUGCAGAUUAUUCGACUGGUGGGAUUUACUGAUUUUCCUG
rnacentral:lncRNA from 1 species